CUAUUAUCUCACAAAACUGCAUAGCAUAAAGUUAUGGUAUUGAUAUUAUAUCGAGUCAAAGAAGUUGAUUGCUCCGACUACGAAAUUAUCAGAAUCAUGUUUAAGCAAAAAGCAUUCUGUAAUUGUAACUCAUUCCAACAUCAAGUGGGAGAAAGGCAACAUACCUUCUCUGAACCUUGUUCUUCAUAUUAUGACAAAAUACAGGUAGUCUCCUCUCAAAAUAACUCAUAUUAAAUCUAAUUUAUUAGAAGGUCUGACGCCUGACAGGCAGUUCUCCUCUUACUUGAUGCUAGUCUCUUUUAUUUAAUCCUCCAACACAUGAUCAAAAAGUUUUUAAGUUACGAUUGCAACUUGUGCAUAAAUUUAGCCUGCCAAAAAUUCUCUGCUGAGAUCAAUAUUAUUUAAUAUAAGCAAAAACAAGUAAAUGAAAAUAAGAAAGUGAUUUCUUGAAGCACUAGAAUUCAUCUUGCACAUGCUAUGAAAUAAAAGUCCCCCCUCUUCAAAUGAUCUAGAAGACAG
rnacentral:lncRNA from 1 species